rnacentral:lncRNA from 10 species
UGGUGGCGGGCACCUGUAGUCUCAGCUACUCGAGAGACUGAAGUGGGAGAAUCACUUGAACCUGGGGCGGGUGGAGGUUGCAGUGAGCCGAGAUCACACCACUGCAUGCCAGCCUGGGUGAUAAAGUGAGACUCCAUCUCAAAAAAAAAAAAAAAAAAAGACUGAGAUGACAAAUUUUACAUUAUGUGCAUUUUCGCAUAGUUUUUUUUUUUUAAAAAAACAAAACAGCAGCCAGUUCACUGAAUUUCCACCAUGUGCCAUGACUGGGUAAGGCUCUGAUAGAGAACAUUGUGAUCUGCAUUUAUAGAUGGGGAAACUGAGGCUCGGAGUGGCUUACCCAGGGCCACACAGCCUUAGUGGCAGAGCUAGUGCGCUGACCCCUCUGUUGUGCGGCUGAGGUGUGAGAGUGCCCCCCGGCGCUGCAUGAGCCGCCAGGGCUAUGACUCCA